rnacentral:rRNA from 1 species
CCUACGGGAGGCAGCAGUGGGGAAUUUUGGACAAUGGGCGCAAGCCUGAUCCAGCAAUGCCGCGUGAGUGAAGAAGGCCUUCGGGUUGUAAAGCUCUUUUGUCAGGGAAGAAACGGCUGAGGAUAAUACCUUUGGCUAAUGACGGUACCUGAAGAAUAAGCACCGGCUAACUACGUGCCAGCAGCCGCGGUAAUACGUAGGGUGCAAGCGUUAAUCGGAAUUACUGGGCGUAAAGCGUGCGCAGGCGGUUUUGUAAGUCUGACGUGAAAUCCCCGGGCUCAACCUGGGAAUUGCGUUGGAGACUGCAAGGCUGGAGUCUGGCAGAGGGGGGUAGAAUUCCACGUGUAGCAGUGAAAUGCGUAGAGAUGUGGAGGAACACCGAUGGCGAAGGCAGCCCCCUGGGUCAAGACUGACGCUCAUGCACGAAAGCGUGGGGAGCAAACAGGAUUAGAUACCCUGGUAGUCCACGCCGUAAACGAUGAGUGCUAAGUGUUAGAGGGUUUCCGCCCUUUAGUGCUGCAGCAAACGCAUUAAGCACUCCGCCUGGGGAGUACGGCCGCAAGGCUGAAACUCAAAGGAAUUGACGG